rnacentral:misc_RNA from 1 species
AGUAAACAGACCACCAAGUCACUGAAAUCAUGAUAUCAAAAGCACAGUUUAGCAUUUAACUGGAAUCCUAACCUCUUUUUGCAAAAGCAAUGUUAGACAUGUAAGUGAACCAUGUUUCACCAUAUUAGGGAAAACCCUAAAUUGGUAUGGUCAUUGCCCAUUUGCUUGAGCAGCAAUUACCCAUUACAACACAAUGUGCAAUGAAAGUUUCAACUCAAUGGCAUCCACAUGCAAAAUCAUUCAGCACCAAAAGUUUAAGUCACCAUUUGGCUCAUUUCAGUUCUUCAAUACUAGUUGAAGCAUUUGAUCUCCUCCUUUUGGCUUCAUUGUCACCCAAGUGCAAUGAAACACACGCAUCUUCAUCACAGCCAUUCCUCAGAGAAGCGAGGUUCUGCGACACUGCCUUAUCUGAUAAGCUGUUUUUAUGCAGUGGGGACUGUCUUAUGAAGCUUGGAAUAAACUGAUGUUCAAAGCUAGGAACCACCUUGAUCCCAUCUUCCAUAUGAAACUCAGUUUCCACAAGUGGUGGGUUCAUUUCUUGGUUGCUAGGUUCUACUUCCAAAGGGAUAUGCUCAAUUUGAAGACCUAAUGACUCAAAUUUGUCUUCAACUUUGUCCUCAGGAAGCAUUGCCUUUGGGGGUGAGGAGUCUCCCACUGUGGAGCACAUUGCUGUUGCUGAAGCAGCUCUUUGUUCUUGCACUGCCACUUUUAGUCCCUGACUGGUAUUGAUGAGAUCAAGCUCAAGAAGAUUGAGAAGUCGCCCAAGAUCUACUCCACUAGUCCAAUUUUCAGGAGGCUGUCCAACUUUCAGCUUAAGUCGGCCGCGAUUAGCAGUACCACCCCAUAUGAUUCCAAUAGGCCGUGACUUCUCACCAUUCUCACCUUUCAUUAUGAUGAGGCUUCCACUAUCUCCUUCAAGGUCAAAAGUCUGUUGGUUCUCACCCACAACAAGAAAAUCAGUUAAGAAGCAUAUGCCUUUCUCGUCAUUGUACUCAAGAGCAUACGCCAAGACAGUUCCUGUGGUCAAGCCAGAACUUCUUCCAACCUUCAUCACCUGCUUCCCAAUAAGACUGCUGAUGGAAGACUGCAAAUCUAUAAUCUUUACAUCACCAAUCUCUCCUAUACCUUUCACAGAUGUGGUAACAGUGGACAUAUCAAAAUCAUCAGAAAAUGGGAUAAAUGCCCCGUCUGCUCUGACAAAUGUCUCUGGGUUUAUUCCCGCAAAAAUGCCAUACCAAAGGUCAUCUGUGAUAAAUGAAGUAGCUCUCUCCACUGCACCAAGAUAAACCCCAGGUCCAAGUGUUGGGGGCAAAGGAUGAAACAUUUUUUGAUUAGGGUAAUCCAAGUCAACUGCAACAUGCCUAUUUGUUAGAAACCCAACUUGUCUACUGCCAGUCUGACUUCUAACAAUAGCACCCAGUGUCCCGUAAGUCUCCUGGUUUGCUACCUGUGCACAAGCAAUAACUCGGUUAUAAUUCCCAUCAAUUGUGGGAGCUGGAAAUUGUGGACUAUUAAUUAAAGUAAUCAACACUAAUUUUCUUCAUGAAAUAGUUUGCAAAAGCCAUCAACCAGUUAUGAUCCCACUAAAGUUGCAUCCUACAAAGGACAAUCAGGAGGCAGUCCUAUCCUUACAAGCUUACAUGAAAAUGGCUACUCUCAGGCCUCAAACUUCGUCCUUUAAGAUUCUUACCUUUCCAACAGCGAAGAGGCAAUCGCACUUAGGUCUUAGUCAUGGAUUUUAUAAAAGUGUCUGUUAUUAUAUCCAAAACAGAUAAACAACGUCAAAACUCUAAAAAGGUUGUAUCAGAAGCCAACUCAUGUCAUGAUCAUUAUAUUAAGUGGAAUCAAUGAAUGAAGAAUUACUAACUGUAAUCCAUAUCCAAAAGAAUAUGGUGCAGGGAAUAUAAGAGUAGCAAAGUACCUGAGAACCUGAACCAAUACACAAAUCACCCCCACGCAUAUCAUCCACAAUCUCAGUGUAUAACUGUUCCUUAGGAGUUGGCUCAGAUGCACCAAAAUAUGAGAACUCAACCACAUCAACAUCGCACCAUACACCUCCUGGUCCCUCA